rnacentral:lncRNA from 1 species
CCGGUCACUUGUAAAUUUUACUUUACCCAAAGGAAACAGAAACAGAACAAGGAAAUUACUUGACAGACUCUAAUAAUGCAUGUAGUUUAUUAUUACAGAACAACGACAUUUUUACCGGCAUACCAGUAGGCCAGCAUUACGCAUUAUCAACAUACAGUCGGAUCAUGCACCGGACGCUUCAGAUCAUGAUUUACACGCAUAUAGUAUAAUAUAAUAGUAGUGACCCGCGACAUAGUACGACAUGAUAAAGAUGCAUGAAGUUCAGGUACAUGCUAUGCAGGCGCCAUGGGCGGUGGCGGAUCA